rnacentral:lncRNA from 1 species
GUUACAGAUUCACAUGAAGUCCCAAGAUAGCUUCUGUCGGCUUUUGUGGCCUGUUGCAGCAGCCAGCAGCAGGAAACUUGAGGAGCUAUCAUCUCAGGAAUGAACAGGGCCACAUCAAUAAGGGGAGACCUGUAAUGAUGUGGCUCUAAAUGUCAGCUUUAAAAGCCUGGGAAUUGAUAGAGGAAGAGAGAAGAAACUUAAGAUACAACUAUUAGGUAAUUUUAUGGAUUUUUUCCCACAAAUAUACCAGGAUCUACGAUUGAUAUGAGCAUUCGCAUCAUUGUAACUGCUUCAGAAAGCUGGAAUAAUAG